UCUAUUAUAGAUGCUGCUCCAAGAGAGAUGGCAGUGCAAAUGUAUGUUGUGAACUUGUUCCAAGUCGUACAGAUGUGAACAUUUCUCCAUGAAACCAGAGCUGGAUGCUGAAAUGUCCUGGGCAGACUGUGCAGUAACAUAACCUGUAACAUACAUACUAGAUGUUACUGUCUCAUCGAGAAGAUGAACUUGAUCAUGAAAAGCCAUGCUUCCAUUUCUCAACUCUUCCUCUCCCUGGAUGGAGACCUCUGUCCCCUUUGCCUAUGUUGUAAUAGGAAGAUCUUGUUGGUAGCUCAGGCUCCAGUUUUGUAGGCUCAUGCAAGAGGAUGGCACUACCACCAAGAAAACUUCCGUUCCUAGAACCAGGAGCGCUGGUCCAGACCCAUGAGAUUUCAUCUUCUAAGCCCCUCUGGCUAAUUGCAAGGUGCUAUAGGCAUAGGAUUGCACCUCGGGAAAUGAAGAAUCUCAGACCUUCAGAAUCCACUCUUAGGUGGAUCUCAUGUUGCUCAGGAAAAAAUGACAUGAGAUUUACACAUUCUGUUACCACUUCCCAGGGUUGCAGCAUCACGCAGCAAAACAGCACAGAGAAAAGUGCCAUGUCCCAUGCUUGCUAGCUGUUUCUUGUGUUGGCUGCUCAGCCUAACAACCGUGCAGAGCUGUCCUUUGCACUCCUACCGUACAGCUGUUAGUAUAGCAUUUUCUAAUUGAUUUUACUCAAUUAACACUUGCUAAUUAAUUUCUAUUAAUUACCUCUCAUUUAGAGACCUGCACAGGCACAGCUAUAAAUCUCCGCACAGCACACUUUCAUGAAUGGCAGUCUAUGUACAAUUAGCAGCAGUUUUUGCCACUCAGAAUUGCCUCUGGCAGGAGAAGGUGUUGAUGAACCCACUGUGCUGGACUCAUGUAGCAUGUGAAGGUGUGUGUUGCAGCUCAGGGGAGUGGGGGCUGUUAGCGUGGGCUGCUGGGAGCCACGUGCUGUCAGUGUGACUGUCCAACAGCGUGCUUGUAACUCCCAUGUCAAUCUGCAUUGCUGUACCUGUGGAUAACCUUGGCCUAGAUGCAGACUUUAUCAUCAUUUCUGAGAAAAUUAUGUUGUUAAUACAUCAUCUGUAAUCAAUAGGCCAUGGCCUUCAUUCAGGAAGACACUUAGGAGCAUGGCUAAUAUCCAUUAUGCAGUCUGGUACCUUUAUGGUGGUUAUUUUUUUUAAGAGCCUGCUAUUCCAUUUAAAAUUGGAUUUGUACUAAACUGAGGCUUUAUGCCUACAGAGGACAUCAGCCAAGACCUGACCAUGAGGUGCCAUGUGCUUACAGUGUAAGGAUGACUUUGAAGCUGGUAAACGCUUACAAGACCUGCUCCAAAAGUAUUUCCUCCUGUCCUAUGAUGUUGGUCUACAACAUCAAAACAGAUGUUGGUGGUAUGGCAGUAGAGACUGAACCUCCCUGCCAAUAUCC
rnacentral:lncRNA from 7 species